ensembl:lncRNA
CAGCCAAUCGGCAGACACAAAUCUUCCCCUUGACUUUCGCCCACCCAAUCAGCAACCCCGCAUCGACUCAAGGGACCUCAACUCAAGGGGCGCCCCGCCCAAUCAGCAACCCGCAUCAGCAUCAACUCGAGGAAAACCUUCCACGUGUGUCAGCCAUUAUCUCUGCAUUCGAUGAUAAGAUGUCUUUUGCAAAUCUGAAGAUUACGCCGUCGCAUCAGUUGGUCCUGCGGGCCUCUGAUGCGGCGGCAGCCUUCACCGCCGCCAUGGGGCCACGCGGGACCCAGGCUACCGCCAGGGCCAAGAAGCCGGGGGAGGUGGAGAAGGAGGCCCAAGCCCGCGUCGUCUCCGGGGGCGGUGACCCUGGGAACCCCAUGCUGGUGCUGGGCUGCCACAGCAUCCAGCUGGGGAAGUACCAGGGUCAGACCUUCCUGUGGCUCCUGGAGAACGACGCGGGCUACGCCUGUCACCUGGUCGCCAGUCACCAGCGGGAGCGGGAGACUAGUGCCUCGGACAGCCCGUUCAUGGCCAACAAGGACAGCCUCGCCCGCUACUCCUGCGCCCACCCCGCUUUUGCGGAGCACCUCCAGUUCCGCCGGGCGCAGGAGGAGGCCCGGGCUCGUUCCACUCUGCCCGGGCGGGGGGGCGAGGCGCUUGUUGGCUUCGGGCUGUUCAAGGAGGACACCCUGAAGGACCUGUACGACUCCAAGGACAAGGAGCGUCAGACCUACGUCAAGUGGCUACGGCGGAAGACACCGCAGCCUGGGAGCGCCAUGGACGUCGCCAUAAAGUACAUUCUGGGCCGAGACAAGGAGCGGUCGGCGGAGGCGGCUGCUACACCC